rnacentral:pre_miRNA from 1 species
CGAUGGAUUUGUUACGUGACUCGAUGGUAUAUUGCGACAUUGUUGACGUAACACCAUUGCC